CCAAACAAACGUGCCACGGGCAAUAGUAUUUAUUGGUGAGGCACUGCCAAACCUCCCCAGUUGUCCAUGCACAAAAGGGGUCAGUUCAUCCCUUGCACAGCCCUGCAACUGCAGCCUUGCUUGGUGCAGGGUUUCUUCCGAAGACGUGAGGGUUUUGUCCUGCAAGAGGAGCUGUGUGGGUUUUGCAAUCCAGAUACUCAGGUGACUCAGUGCCUGAGUGGAUCGUUAGAGUCCAGGAUGACUUGGGAGACACAUGGAAGCCAACAUCCACCUGCCAGCUGUAGACGGGGUCCAUCCACUCCGAGGCAGUAACGUCUCAGGUCCAGGCAGGCACCCUGCAGGGGCAUCCUGGCAGGUGACUUGAGAUCUCCAUCAGAUGUAAGAUAGUGGAGGUCUCCAGAGACUUUUCCUACACAAGUACUCCAGUGGCCAAAUUCCUCUGCGGUGCUGACAGACCUCUUACAGCCUCCGGAUUUAAGCAGCGGUACCGAAGGUGUCCUCGGAUGGCCCAGGAUUUCCUCGAGUAUCUGGCAGUGGCAGGUAAAGAGUUAACAAUGGAAAAAUAUGUAUAGGUUUAGGGGAAGGAUUUUUUUUUAAUAUAUGUUUUUUGCUUCACAUCUGAGCUCUUGGCACAGCUUCCCCCGCCUCUAAUCACACCUUAUAACUGCAGUUUAAAUCAAAACCCGCAAGGCUGGACCAGUUGGAUCCAGUUUCUAUUAAGCCAUUUGAUCUGCAACUGAGCAGACUUGCUGUCACCAAGCCAGUCCCCUGCCUGUGCCUCUACAUAAUGAGGCUCCCGUGGCAGUCCGCCACU